GACGAACGCUGGCGGCGUGCUUAACACAUGCAAGUCGAACGGGAAGGCCCUGCUUUUGUGGGGUGCUCGAGUGGCGAACGGGUGAGUAACACGUGAGUAACCUGCCCUUGACUUUGGGAUAACUUCAGGAAACUGAGGCUAAUACCGGAUAGGAGCUCCUGCUGCAGGGUGGGGGUUGGAAAGUUUCGGCGGUUGGGGUUGGACUCGCGGCUUAUCAGCUUGUUGGUGGGGUGGUGGCUUACCAAGGCUUGGACGGGUAGCCGGCCUGUGAGGGUGACCGGCCAGAUAGGGUGGGAGUGACGGACCAGCCACACUCGGGCGGGAGGAGGGGGGAGUAUUGAACAGAGGGCGGAAGACUGACGCAGCAACGCCGCGCGCGGGAGGACGGAAUUCGGGUGGGAAGCAGCUUUCGCUUGUGACGAAGCGUGAGUGCCGGUACUGGGGAAUGAAGUACCGGCUACCCACGU
rnacentral:rRNA from 1 species